rnacentral:rRNA from 1 species
GAUGAACGCUGGCGGCGUGCCUAAUACAUGCAAGUCGAGCGAACCGAUUAAGAGCUUGCUCUUAAGAAGUUAGCGGCGGACGGGUGAGUAACACGUGGGUAACCUGCCUAUAAGACUGGGAUAACUCCGGGAAACCGGGGCUAAUACCGGAUAACAUUUUGCACCGCAUGGUGCGAAAUUGAAAGGCGGCUUCGGCUGUCACUUAUAGAUGGACCUGCGGCGCAUUAGCUAGUUGGUGAGGUAACGGCUCACCAAGGCGACGAUGCGUAGCCGACCUGAGAGGGUGAUCGGCCACACUGGGACUGAGACACGGCCCAGACUCCUACGGGAGGCAGCAGUAGGGAAUCUUCCGCAAUGGACGAAAGUCUGACGGAGCAACGCCGCGUGAGCGAUGAAGGCCUUCGGGUCGUAAAGCUCUGUUGUUAGGGAAGAACAAGUGCGAGAGUAACUGCUCGUACCUUGACGGUACCUAACCAGAAAGCCACGGCUAACUACGUGCCAGCCGCCGCAGUAAUAC